UCGUGAGUGAGAGAUGACAGAAACAUCUUUACUCAUUGGUUGAUUUUUUUUUUUAAGAUAUAGAUUAUAACAUCAGUUAGAGAUAUGAUCAGAGUUAUUAUAUAAUGGCUUAACUGGUUCACCUACACCAAAGUUUAAUUAUAAGUGGUUUUAGUUGCAGGUUUGUGAUAGUAACUAUAAAAUCCAUUUGAUGUUGUUUCAUAUCGAUCACGUGAAAGCGUAGUGUUUUGUGAUGAUGAUAGGCGUUGGAAAAUAGUUACAAUAAUAACUUCUAAUUUUUAAAGAUUAAAUAAAUGGUUAAUUAAUACACAUAAUUUGUUUAGA
rnacentral:lncRNA from 1 species